rnacentral:rRNA from 1 species
GGGUUUAAAGGGUCCGCAGGCGGUCAAUUAAGUCAGAGGUGAAAUCCCAUAGCUUAACUAUGGAACUGCCUUUGAUACUGGUUGACUUGAGUCAUAUGGAAGUAGAUAGAAUGUGUAGUGUAGCGGUGAAAUGCAUAGAUAUUACACAGAAUACCGAUUGCGAAGGCAGUCUACUACGUAUUGACUGACGCUCAUGGACGAAAGCGUGGGGAGCGAACAGGAUUAGAUACCCUGGUAGUCCACGCCGUAAACGAUGGACACUAGUUGUUGGGCAUUAGCUCAAGUGACUAAAGCGAAAAGUGAU